UACGUAGGGGGCAAGCGUUGUCCGGAAUUACUGGGCGUAAAGGGCUUGUAGGUGGCCAACUAAGUCAGACGUGAAAUCCCUCGGCUUAACCGGGGAACUGCGUCUGAUACUGGACGGCUUGAGUGUGGGAGAGGGAUGCGGAAUUCCAGGUGUAGCGGUGAAAUGCGUAGAUAUCUGGAGGAACACCGGUGGCGAAGGCGGCAUCCUGGACCAUUACUGACACUGAAAAGCGAAAGCCAGGGGAGCAAACGGG
rnacentral:rRNA from 1 species